rnacentral:lncRNA from 1 species
ACUGGGAUUACAAGGUGUGCGCCACCACGCCCGGCUAACUUUUGUGUUUUUAGUAGAGACAGGGUUUCGCCAUGUUGGCCCAGCUGGUCUCGAACUCUUGACCUCAAAUGAUCCACCCACCUUGGCCUCCCAGAGUGCUGGGAUUGCAGGAGUGAGCCACCGCACCCUGCUUAUUUAUUAAUUUAUUUGUCCAAUAUUUAUCAAUCUCCUACCAUGCCCAAGGCACCUUAGAGGGCACCGAGAAUACAACAGCAAACACGACACAGUCCCUGCCCUCGGUCACUUCAAGAGCUGGAGGGAGAGGGGAGUGAGUGAAAACAGUGCACUGAGAUGGAAGAUGGGAGGGGCAAUCGGGGGUGCUUCACAGAGGAGGAGGCAUGUUGGUAACGUGGUAACGUGGAACGUUGGUAACGUUCCGUGAUAACGUGGAAAGUUGGUAACGUUCCGUGAAGUCUGCAUCUUCAAAUGCCCCUAGCUCUGUCUAGGCUGAUGAGACGGGAGAAUGGCCAGGCCUGAGAAGUGGCUUAUGGUUGGAGGGGAGUCAGAAAGGGAAGGAUGAUUUCUCAGAAGGAAUGAGAGGAGCGCAGCCCCCUUGGUGAUCCCCACUUCCUGGGGAACGGGCCUUUUCCUGGCAGUGCUGUGCUGCGGCCCCGCGGGCCAAAUGCGGGUAGACAUGCUGCCCUCCCGCGCGUGGCCGGGAAAAGGGCAGGGCACUGUUCCUUCCCUGUGCCCCUCCCCUCUGCCAUCAGUCUCCACUUCUCUAUUUACCUCCCUGCCCUCUCGCCCCUAAACCUCCUUUCUCUCCCCAUCUGGCUUCCCUCUCCAUCCGUCAGUGAGCUGUGAUUGCGCUGCACUCCAGCCUGGGCGACAGAGUGAGACUUUGUCUCUAAAAAAGAAGAAGAAAAAAAAAAAAAAACGAAUGAUGAAGGAAAGUGACAAGAUUUCCAUUUCCAGAAACCCAAGUCUUGACGUUAUCCACACGGAAGAUGUCGCUCAGAAUACACUUUUCUUGGAGAAGGACGGCCCUGCAACUGCAUUCAAUUCAGUUUCUUGCCUGAGGAGGGUGAAAAAACAAGGAGGGUCUCAAGAACUGAGCGCAGCUGUGAGGAGCAGCUCACAAGGAAGGAGUCCCAUCAUUUACUGGACAGCUCUGAGUCUCCAACGAUUUAUCAAUUGUAGCUCAGGUUUUCCUACCCCAGUGCUGAUUCCUGUGGAGGUUUCUGCUCGGCUUCAUAACCAAGAAUGA